UUUAUAUAUAACAUGAGAUGAUGCUGUAACAUAUAGUUUCUAUAUAACAUGAGAUGAUGCUGUAACAUAUAGUUUAUAUAUAACAUGAGAUGAUGUUGUAACAUAUAGUUUAUAUAUAACAUGAGAUGAUGUUGUAACAUAUAGUUUCUAUAUAACAUGAGAUGAUGUUGUAACAUAUAGUUUCUAUAUAACAUGAGAUGAUGUUGUAACAUAUAGUUUAUAUAUAACAUGAGAUGAUGUUGUAACAUAUAGUUUCUAUAUAACAUGAGAUGAUGUUAUAACAUAUAGUUUAUAUAUAACAUGAAAUGAUGUUGUAACAUAUAGUCUAUAUAUAACAUGAGAUGAUGUUGUAACAUAUUUAUUUUUUCAUCUUUUCAGGAGCAUCUCUUUUGACAGCAUUGACAUUUUAUUUCCACACCAAUACAAUUUUGCUGAUUGUUAUGAAGAGGGUAUCAACACAGUCAAAUGGUUAAAGUUAGUUCAUAGAAUGAAAAGGAAACCUUUCACUGUUGAUAGUCCUUUACCGCCAGAUCUCACAUUUAAAGUCAAGAUGCUGUCUAUAGAGAUGUCUGAUGAUCCAUUUGAAGUCAAAAUGGGUUUGAACUAUGAGGUAA
rnacentral:sRNA from 1 species